UCAUGUUUCCAUAGCGCUCCUGUCCUGGGACCAGAAGAACAGCUGUCAGACACAAAGAGCAUCUUUUAUUAAAGACAAAAACGUGUUUCUCUGUGUGUUACAGGAGCUGCCGUCAUGUGGGUGAUUACUGAGUCACCAGGCACAAGGUCUACAUUCCACACGUCAGCAUCAAAUGCAGGGAGGGACUCAGGCAUGCAGUGGAAGGAUAAAGUAUCUUGAGCCAAUUUAGAAAACCUGCGAUGUCCCACAGCUGCAGCCGGAUCACAGUGUCCCCAUCCCACUGCAGCACCUUCAGGGCGAAGUCCACCCCGAUUGUGGUUCUGUAGUGCUGGGAGAAGAUCUGCUGGACGUACCGCUGGAUGAUGGAGGUCUUUCCAACCCCUAUGUCCCCGAUGACCAGGACUUUGAACAAGAGCUCCUGUUGCAUAGUGGCAGCUCGACGAGAAGAAAACAACUAGUAGUAAAGCAUUUGUGGACCUGAUGAGGGAAAUCUUUGAGCUGGUGAGGGAUGGGGACAUCAAGAUCCAGGACAGCUGGGAGGGCGUUAAAAGCGGAUUCGUCCCCAACACGGUCCACUCCUCGGAGGAGGUCACCGAGGGCGGACGGCAGUGCUUCUGCUGAUUUACUGGUUUCCUGUUCCCGAGGCUGACUUCAGACCAACUCUCGGGACUGUUCAUCUCUCUUCCUGUCCAGUUCUCUUCCACCUGUAAUCUCCACAUACAGGUGCCAGUUUGGGUCAAACUUAUGAUGAGGUUAGAAGCACAAGAAUCAUCCUGACCUUUCACCCUCUGUCUGCAUGUUUCUUUCAGCAGCAACACUUUAGCUUUACGCCACCGCUGGCCUUUCCUGACACUCCGGUGGCUGAGACGCUGUGACCAGGAGUGUUUUCUGUCCGAGUUUCAGUGUGAAUUUAAUCAGAACCAGUGACUGAUUUGUGUUUUACUGCUGCCUUGUGUGGACUCAGCCCAGGUAGUCAGGAGCCACAUGAUGAUGAGAGUAAAGCGCUGAGCUGGGCACAAGGAAACCUGCUUGUGUUUUGACGUCAGCAACUAUUUUUACCUAUACGGGUAAGAAAAUUCGUUUCAAUGAGGUUUUGGUGAUGAAAGCAGUGAAAUCUGUAUUUGAAAUCAGUCUUCUGGGCUCAGUUUGAGAAGUAAUGCCUAAAAAUUAAAUCUUUAAAUCAGAUUAUAGGUUGGUUAAUAAAUCCAAGUGUUAUUACAUCAGUAACAAACUACUGGAUGAGUCCAACUCUUACACCUGGUGGAGGGAGAAUUUGCAGAGUGCCUUUUGGAUGAAAUAUCAUGUGACAUCAUUUGUUAAUUUAUGUGGAGGCCAACCGUGACAAAGUCCUCUAUUGAUGUGUUUUUGUGACCCAGUUUAUUUUAUGACAGCACAAGUGUCAUCAAUAAUAAAUGACUGGAAACGUGAUCAAACUUUUGGUGGGGAAGAACAAGCUUGAAGUGUUUAAAUCGGGGGUCGGCAACCCGCGGCUCUUUCAUCCAUCUGAUGCGGCUCUCUGUGCUUGUAAAAUAAUGAAUGGAUAUUUAAAUAAAAUGCUUUAUAUUUUACUGCAUUAAUUUUACAUCUGUAUGCCAAUUCUAAAUGUAAAGAUUGUCUGCGUAAACCUGAACAGUUCCAACCCGGUCUUACUGUGAGACCGGGUUGACGCGUCACGCUUGUGCGUAAUCAUAGGCGCUUUCUGAGCUGAAGAGGAUGUGAGAUUCUGGGAUUCUUCUCAGACAGACUCCUGGAUGUGUCGCCACAUUGGAGACAGGAACAAGCGCUAUUCAGCCAAAGUUUCAUAAUCAGGAACAUUUUCUAAGUGACAAGUCUUGCUUCAGUCGGAGGAAUCUUCCUGCAUGCGCUCUGGUUCUGAGACGCACUCCAAGCCCCUCUCCACAUCUUCAGCUCACUGUGCUCUGUACGUACGCGCUGACAGUGAGCUGCGCUGAGCUCAGUGUCCAGCUCAGAUGUUCAGAAGGAAAUCUUUUCUUGAGUGAUUUAACUACAUCUUCAAUGUGCGAAACAAAUAAAGUGUCAGUUCGUC